rnacentral:rRNA from 1 species
UACGGAGGGUGCAAGCGUUGUCCGGAUUCAUUGGGUUUAAAGGGUGCGCAGGCGGGACAUUAAGUCAGGGGUGAAAGGCGGUUGCUCAACAAUCGCAGUGCCUUUGAUACUGGUGUUCUUGGGUGACCUUGAGGUAGGCGGAAUGGGUGGUGUAGCGGUGAAAUGCAUAGAUACCACCCAGAACUCCGAUUGCGAAGGCAGCCUACUGGAGGUUUACCGACGCUCAGGCACGAAAGCGUGGGUAGCAAACAGG